rnacentral:sRNA from 1 species
UGCCGAUAGGGACUGAAGUGUCCAAGGG